GUGUACAUCAAAGGCGCAACAUUUGCCAAUCGGACACUACGAGAAUCGUGUUCAUGACAUACAGUUAUUUUUAAACGAGCAAAUAUAAAUUUAAGCGUACCCAAAAAGUCAUAUAUGAGUCAAGCAAAAGUGAAACAUGGCUAGGCGGUACGUGGAACAUUCUAACCUUGCUGUGUAGUUACCAAGCAUGUCUUAUGAGUAUACGGAACCCUUUCCGUGCCAGAGAGUUUUUCAAUGUUGGGAAGAUCUUUAGCUAUAUUAGAAAUUUCUAAAAGGGUCUAUUCUAUUUACAGAUCAGUGAGAGCUGUACAAUAAAAAAAAAAAAAAAAAAAAUAGUUUUUUAACAAAUUUAGCAGAUCAUAUUUUGUGGUUAGUUGUGCUGUUGGAAAACCGGUGCGGUACAAGGCUGACCUCGCGACAAGGAGUGGUAUACAGAAAUUCGCGACGCGACCAGUGAUAAUUGGUAAUCGCAGGAUCGACAUCGCGGCGAAUUCAAUUCAAUAGUGUGCCUAUUAUAGGAGUGGGUGCCUGCAAAGGGAUCUGGUUUAAAUGUGCCUGACUGAAUACUACUUUAUCGUGGAAGCGUCAUGGUAUCUGGCGGAUGCGUGAUAAUAGUUAAUCGUCUCUUUCAUCUAUCCGGUGACGCUGGCGACCUGCCAUGACAUGAACUCGAAACGCAGGUAUUGAAAAAACGGUCUGCUUCUACAGGGCAUGUCGUCUUGAUGGUGUACGGGGGGUGAGUGACAAGGUCGCACUCAAAAGCUAACUUCCCUACCUCCCAGUGACCCCUAAACAGCCAUCCGAAAAAAUCAAUCCAGGAGGGAGGGCCCUUCACUCGCAAGUGCGUGAAGACGCGCACCGUUCGAAUCAUAAUGUACGGAGUCCAGCAGCAGUAUUCCAUAUUGUUUCACGCUAUGACUUCAGCGUUCGUCAUUCGUCAAUCGUCAUUGCGAAGUAAAGGCUUACGAAGUUCUAUCGUAGCGAUGGUGAACUUAGGAUCACGUUUCUACAUAAAUAGGUGAAACAAACUCUAAGCGUGACUGGCACCGGAGGUACAUAAACUAAUAAUUUUUCAUAAUGGUUCAGUCGUCACGAAAAUAAUUUUCGACAGGUACGCCUAGUUUUUCUUGAAUCUUCCUUGAUUUCUUAAGUUUAAGCGUCACUAAAUGAUAGUUCCGGAAUAAAGCACAGCUUAAAGUAAGACUUCGAAUGGCUAUAAUGGUCAUUAUAUUUCUUCUUCUUCGAUCCAAGUCAAAUUUAAUGAGUCAAAAAAAAAGCCAUACGUUCCUUGUUGGCUAUUCGACUGCAUGUAAUUAACCUGUUCUUGGGAAAUUAGUAUUUCAAUAGCUAAAGCAGGUGUCUAGCAGCUAGAACUAUCGAGUGCGUCCAUUACUAUUCGUAAAAUAUUAAAGAACGAUGCACGAUCGAUUGUAGCGUACGACACGUUACUAUAUAUUUGGUACCAUCGUACUGCGAUGACGAUAAAUCUUACUUUGCGUGGAGCCAUAGUAAAUAUACACACGGGGUAAGAGGAGGAAAGGGUAGGAGAGAAUAUUUUACAUCCCCUGUACAUCGAGCGUUAAAAGAGUUAUCUAUUGUGUACAGAUUAUCUGAAUGUUGUUAUUGUUGUCAUCUGUAAUGCUCAAGAUGCCAUUGGAUAUUCGAAUAGUGGUCGACUCACGGUUAGCAUGUAGCCGCUCUUCGAACCCGCAGUACGGUCGUCUAGGCGACGGCCCAUGUUCUUUUCUUCGAGGCACCGAAACCGCUUUCGUUUUUCCCGACGUUUCACCAUGAACUUUUCUUCCCCUUGCCCCUUUGAGGGUUUUAUUUGAACUUCUGCGGUUAGCGAUAAAUGCCUAACCAUCCUAAAGGAUCGAGUGGGGCAUAGCAAAUUUAACUGCUAUCUGUAUUACUAAUUUGUUCUGCUGCCGUCUAUUUAAUGUGUCGAAUUAUCAAAGAAAGUUACACAAUACAUCUUACAGUAUUUGAAUAUGGUACAUCAGUUUUGCUUGUGCGCCAAAUUAUGAACUAAAGUAGCUGGUUUGUUCCGUUCUAGAUAUAAAUUAGAUUUAUUUCCAAUUGAUAAGCCAACAAUCCGAAAGGUUCGGAUUUUAUAAUCGCGUCGACUGCUCUUUCUUGCCACCGAUUGUUUUCGGCUUUGAUUUCUGAUUUUGUACAUUUAGCAUUUUACAAUUGCCGCUUGAUCGCGUUGGUUGUGGUCAUUCAGUAUUUGCGUGUGCAAUGCAUGAUUAUACGCCGGUGAGCAAAGCUUCUGUUACUGCAAGAAUACGAGUGAGGUGCUGCUCGCGGGAACGCCAGUGAUCUACAAGGCUGUUUGCCCAAGGUGCAUCGAUCUACCUGUUUAUGCGUAGCGUUAUGUAGACAUGUUGUUUCAACCUAAAGAGCAUUGAUCGUUAAUGGUCAAACUAAUUUGUACUAAGCUACAUUGUAAAAAAAAAAAAAGAAAACUAUCUGAAACCAUCUGUCCGAUACACUGCUUCUUAGAUUUAAAAUAUAAUUGUGUUUCGUCGGCCCUUUAUAAAAAUAAAUAAUUCAUCCCCUUAGCUUUUAGACGCGAACUCAAUGACUUGGGACUGACACGCGAACGAGUCCGCAUUCCGAGACCUGUGAGCAGUGCUUGUCCUAAAAAAUUCUACCCGUGAAGCCAUCGUUUAAGCGGAACUCGUUGUUUAUAUAUGCACAUAAUCCCGCCUCGCACAACUUGUAUCGGUUCUUUUUGAGAACUCUAUUUAUUUUAUGUGGACUCAUGAACAUCAGAGUGGCAUUGCACUAUUGUUGACAGAGCAACCAUAGUAAUGUCCCAUCCAGCUAAACCCUUCUUCCUACUUUUCUAAUCUAAUCUCACAAAUGAGAUAGUUGUGACAGUUACGAAAAGUAUAUUUCUAGCGGGUUCUAGGGCCAUGCAAACUUGCCUUUAUGGCGCCAAUCAAUUUAGACAUUUACAUUUGCAUUUGUUUUGCAGUAACAUUAUUAGAGACGUAAGCUAGAGAGCUUCAAAUAGAACCUGAACUAGCUUGCUUACUUGCUAAAGUGCUUAAGAGACAACUGAUUGUUCCAUUGAAAUUAUGCAGGGUGUUCUGUGAACAAUAUCUAAAGAAUCUCCUAUUACUAAGUUUCAUUGUGUACUAUUUUUCUUUCUGUUUUCUCAAACUUUCUUUCACAGACCUAAAGCAACCUCGAAUCGACCAGGUCACAGUGCUUCCCUUUUACUUUACUAAUAAUGAGCAAAGGGCCCGUACAAGGAGCAAAAUGUAUGCUCAUUGUGAUAUUUAACAUUAUAGAGUUUACCUGCAAUAAAUCCAUAGCAUUGUUAUGUUGUAUAAGUUUAAUAUGUAACAGUUAAGUUUUACGUACAAUAUUCGUGGGCUGAAAUUCGUGUGAGGUGCUCAUUUAAUCGACGUUUCCUAACGACGCUGCUUGAUCAAGUUAAUCAGGUCCAAUCUAUUUGAAAUAUGAAUUUGAACUAUGGCAGCGAAUGGUAUGACCUACAAUACGCUAAAGUUCUAUGCAGGUAUGUUGUACCCACAAUCUUUCCGCGGUAUCAGCUGACUAAUAAAUACUGUUAAAAUAUCCAGAGAACGUAUCGCAAAAAAGGCGUUUUUCCUUACGUCCUGGAGGCACUGGGUCUAUUUUAUCUGCUCACAGUAGCUAUCUGGGACUGUUAAAAUCACGAAUGGUAUGCUAGAGAUAGAUAUGUAGACUUGCGUUUAUACUGGCCGGGAGCCCACUUGUUAACGGAGUGCUACAGUGGUUACUGCUCAUAUAUUCCGUCAUAGAAGAAAAUGCGUAAUAGGUAAGAAAUAAUAAUAAUAGCAAUCAUAGAACAACAAUAAUGAACGUAAUUCCUCGAACGAUCGCAUACAACCCAUGGCUAGUAUGGAUUUUUUCCUCCCAAACGAAUAUACCCAACCGUGAUGAUGACAAAUCAUUCGUACCGUUAUCAUGCUCCACGAAACACUGCUGGUGGACCUCACGAUGAGUUCCUACAGACACUAUCAUUGCAAAUGAAAUAUGGAUGUCAUCAAGAUCAGCUCAUGAAAUCACGACUGAACUGUACGCAAAGACAGUUAACUUAUCUUUGAGCUUUUUAGGCGAACUUGCGGUGUCCAUGCUACACGAUCCCCGUUUGACAUUCACAUUCAUUUAUCGAAUUUGCUCGAAAUUUUGUUGUUAUAAGCUACCUUUAUGGACUAUUGUACAUUUGUUUUUGUCGGUGCUAUGAAAUUGUACGGCUUUUGCAACCUGCCUAUCAGAAAGAGUGGAGGGGUUAGUUAGUUUAACACAUGAUGAAAUGUUAACUCGAUUAGUGUCUAGCCAGUGGUUGGUAUGGCGAAGUCAGAGGCCUACUUGAACAGCCAUAACAAAAAUAAGCCGCUUUUUCUACGCAAUGAAGCUCGGCACAAACCUUUGUUGUUUCCGUUCAUUAAAUGUAAAGCCUUUUGUUUCAGUCAGGUGGGGUGGUCUAGUAGACAGUGCAUGUGACAUUGGGAAAUCGGAAUUUCAAUACAGAUUUGCUUUACAUCUAAAUGCUGAUAAAAAAAAAGUGCUGUUCCUUCGUUUUUAAGUUGGCAAGCUUUAAACUGAUUCUGUCACAUGUAUUUCCGAUAGGGGUUGUUAAUUUGAAGCUUUACAAAGUGUUAGAUUUGCCAAAUCCUAGGGAGAUUUUCAAAUACUCAGCAGUGAAUAGCUCCGUUUAUCAAAGUCAUGCUGUCCUUUAACUAGUUGGAUACCUUGAGAAACAUUGCAACAACAACAACAACAACAACAACAAAUGUGGCUUCAAAGAACUUCGCAACAAAGUAUGUGUAUUGUUACAUGAUCAUUUCAACUUUAGCAGCCAUGCAACUCUUUUAAGCCUAAACAGUAUAUGCUUAUUCCUAAUUGGAAUUAGCCAUAUAAUACGAGUUUAAUAGAUGAAUAUGGUAUACGCAAGUAAGGUGUAAUUGUCCAUUGAACAGCUCGUUAUCGAUCAGCGUAGAAGAAGGCUCAACUCGCCAGAAAAAAGCUCAAAUUUGUUUGGGCCUCGAGUUUUUUUACUAGCUCUGCGAUAUAUUGCAUGCUUGCAUCCAGACGUGGAUAUCGUAACUAAUGUACGUUGACCUCUUCCCGUUACAGACGACCGUCCUCCCAGGUUGCUGACAUAAAUAGCCACCUAUUUGGUAGCUUUCCGUAUCAUUUACGUUUUCGUUCAGCCUGAGCCAUUCGUUCAUUGGUGAGUUGCGCUCUCCGGCUCUUUGUUUCCGGGUGAUCUCCGCCGUAGCCCCAGUGGUAUCACCCGGCGGAGGCAAUCGUUCGCGCAUCGCAGAAUGCGCAUGGAUAUGGACGAAUUGUGGAACCUUACCUCGAGCGAACUUCUAGGAGAUCUGCCAUUCCUGGGCCAGUUAUUGAGUGCAACCGGGAAUGGCAGUGAUACAAUUCUGCCAGCAGACAACAUUUCAUUUACGCUCAACGAUGAAGAGGAGUUAAGUUAUAUCCCACUGGGAAAGCAUCUUGAGACGUACCUGGCGCCGCCUGUAUUCACUCUAAUCUUCGGCGUCGGACUCAUCGGUAACGGAACCUUGAUGCUGAUCUUUCUCCGGAACAAAGCUAUGCGAAGCGUACCAAACAUCUAUAUCAUGUCGCUAUCCCUAGGAGAUCUUUUCGUUAUAACUGGCACUGUUCCAUUCAUCUGCGCCAUCUACGUACUGGACUCGUGGCCAUUCGGCUUGUUUCUGUGCAAGCUGUCAGAGUUUAUGAGAGAUUUAUCUAUAGGCGUCACAGUGCUUACUCUGACGAUGUUGUCGAUCGAUCGUUACAUCGCAAUUGCUCUCCCACUUUAUAAACGGAAAGGUGGCCGACACGAUCGUCGAGUGACAAUUGUCAUCACGUGCCUUGUGUGGUUCAUUGCUUCAUUGAUGGCCAUACCUGGUGCUUAUUUUUCCUAUCUCGGGGAGGCACAUCUUCCAGGUAGGCCACCCAUUGUAUACUGCCAUCCGUUUCCACAACACAUGCAACCCUGGUAUCCGCGUCUCAUGGUGAUGAUGAAGUUCCUAGUUCAAUACGUUAUCCCGCUCAUUGUAAUCGCGACUUUUUACAUUCUCAUGUCGCGAUCGCUGAUCAAAACGGCAAAAAGUACACUCUGUGACCAAAAAAACGCGGCUGCCAAGAAACAGCAAAAGGCUCGAGUCAAGGUAGCCAAAAUAUCACUGUGCUUCGUGCUAAUAUUUGCCGUGUGCUUUUUCCCGAAUCAUGUCGUCAUGAUUUGGCUCUACUUCCAUCCGAAUGCUCAUCAGAACUACAACGAUUUUUGGCAUCUGUUUAAACUAUUCGGGUUUGUGCUGACAUUUGUGAACUCGUGCCUCAAUCCAAUUGCUCUCUAUUUCGUGUCAGGCGUAUUUCGUUCCUAUUUCAAAGCGUACAUUUGCUGCCAGCCACGUACUCGGACAGUGGUAAAUAACUCGAUGCUAUCCUACCGUCAAUCAUUGCACCCUUCUGUGCAGAUCGAUAGCACUUCCUUGAGGGCAUCGCUAAUCUCAAGACAUUCCGGUCAUGGCGUCUAUGAUCAUCGAAAGAAUUCAACACGCAUUUGACAGAACCCUGGUAAUCACCUUUGCCAGCUCUGGGAAUUGAACCAGCGCGGCUGCACGCAUCAUAUUCUUUUCAUGGUAAACAUAACGACGUAGUUUAAAAGACGCGUAUUAGUCACGCGUCUUUCUCGCUGUAACAGCAACCUAUUACAUGUCGCAAACAUGCGGAGCUAACCACACUAGUUCCACAUACAGUAAAAAAGAAAAAAACUAUUUGUCCCCGUUCCCUCAGAUGCUGAAGUUUCAAAUCAAGGUAAUUUCUCAGUUUUUCGGUGAUCUUUCAUAAAUUAUCAGCUUUGUCAUUUGAAUUUAGUAAUCCACUAUGCUCAGCUACUUACCACUACUGGAUAACUACAAUAUAUGAUCAAAUUAAAGAAGUAUUCGCAAUGUUCAGUCAAUAUCACAUAAAUAUAUGUGGUCUUUGACUAGGGUCUCAUUAGUGUUAGUAGGGUUCCCCAGUUAUUUUUAUAUAACCCCAUAAUGAUUUUUAAUGUCUAGUUUCAAUAUAUUGUGCAGUUGAAAAAUCUUGCGGAAAUGUCCCGCACUUCCUGCAGAUUUCAAUCGACAGGAACAAAACUACAUAUAUAUAUAUAUAUAUAAGCAUCAUAUUAAAAAAAUCACUCACAGAUGAUCUCGUUACUUACUAUUCAUUUAUUAUUCUUGUAUUGUGAUAUCGGUUCACUUGAUAGUGAGCUUUCCCUGGACUCAAAUUCGAUGGGCUAUUUUUAGAAUCGUUCUUAUUUUAGAUGUCCUCUAUCUUUUUCAAUAUGUUUCUAUCUGUCUAUGUCAUAAUCAUACGAAUAAAAAGCGCCACUUAAUAAGCAUCUAUCUGGAAUAGCACACCGUAUGUCACCAAAAUAAAACCAUUCAUUACUUACUGCGUUUACUUCACAAACAAUAUUGCCCUGUAGGGCUUAGUGUCAUCUCAAAUAAAAAAAAAUGCUUGUGAGCACUAGAAUCUUGUUUAAUAGAGAACACAAAAACCUAUUUUCAAAUGUUUAAAAUGCUUGAUUCUCUUUUCUCGCUAAAACGAAUCUGGGGGCCGUCUUUUGAAGCAUAACACAGCAGAUUGUCUUGAUUCACCGCUGCGGUGAGAGCCUUCCCUGUACUCAAUCACGGAAAGCGGCCCGCAUCUUCACGAUUACUUCUUGUCUACACAGAUAACAAAAUGACUCUGAAAAUAACUACAGUUUCAAUAAGCUGAAGGCUUGAUAUUAAAAAGAAAAAAAAACUGUGUGUUAUGUGACACAUAUUUGCUGUAUUUGAUUUGCUUGGAGCAACUUGGAUGAAAACAAAGUCGCUUUUUUUAGCUACCUUUUGUCUCAACAUCUCAUAGAAUUAAUGCGUUAUUGGUAAUCGCCUUCGCUGAAGGCAUGAGCGAUAUCACCGACACAUGUUGCAAUUGCAAGUCUAUUGUACACCCGAAGCUUGUGCCUGAUUCUGCGAAUCGAGGAAACACGUUACACGAAAUGAUGGCCAUCAUAAGAAAAACAUCUAAAAUUCGCCAAGUUUAUCUAUCUCCAUAGUGAUCUUGACUUAAUUCGCACAAAUCGUUUUGCUGUUAUUAAUAGUAGUUUUCAUUUUAUUGUAAGUAAAUUUAACAAAAAAAAAAAGACAAGCUAGUUACUAGCAUUAAAUUUAAUAAUGCAUUUCGAUUCUAUAUAUUUUUAAAUGAUUGUACAUAAUGGUCUGAUACGCUGGUGUGGUAGAGAUAAUGGUCUGGCCGGGACAUGACAGGCGUUUGCACGGAAUUCAGCAAACUUCCUCGGACACUUUAUAUUUAAGUUAGACUAGGACCCGUUUUGCACUUUUCAGAACGAGGUAGAAUGUCAAAUAUAUUAUCAGCUACGGUACAUAUUACUAGAGCACCAGUGUUGACUGCAUUACCCGACUCGAAAAAUCGUCGCGAAUGCAACGUAAUUUAUAUUCAAUGUCAGUCUGUAUAGCAGCUACAGCGUUUACGUAUCCGAGAGAACUGAGUAUGGUGUAACGCUUUGCAGGUCUGAUCUGGACAAGCUCAGCGACAUUUACGCUCACAGCCUUUCCAUAAGGCAAGGACAUCGCCCCAUUUGUCUCAAAUACAGCACCUGUUGUAGCAGCAGCAGAAAGAUUCACAUGGAAAAAAUAAGUAACUGUUCUGCGUAGACCUAGAGGCACACGAUCGACAUUGCGAGGAUGCAGAAGGGACGAUCGAAUGACUCUUGGCAGCAAAGUAAAUUUUUCUGACAGAACCUCUGCAUAUAGCAGGCGAUCGACGGGCCCACAAUGACACACAUAUUUUUCGGGGCCAACAGGGAACAUUAUGGCAAAAUACUCAUUCUCAGCAGCAGAAGCAACAACUGGGUUAUUGUCAAUCGUUUGGAUGCCUACCGUUUGGAUAAUUCAUCGCGCUGAAGCUUUCUCAGACGCAACAAAGACAUGUAGCAAUGAAGUGGUCUCUAACGAAUGUGGACAUGGGCAAAAUGGAACUCGAGCAGAACAAACAGGAGUCCAACCCCGAGUGGGCAAAGAGUCGUCCAUUGGUCCAGGGCGCGAACUUUCUAAAAGUUAAAUAACUUUGAAUCCUCUGCGGUGGAGGCAAAAGCCUGAAUAAUCUGUUUCUACGAGUGUAAUUUUGUGAGGCUGCGUGAAGAUAAAGUUGUGGUAUUUGUAAAAAAGUUUUGAAAAUCAGUUAUGAGAGGAUUAAUGAGUUAAGCUUGAAUUUGACGUACCGAGUACUGAGGCUGUACAUAUAUAAUCCACAUCUUUAUUGAUACAAACAUAACGCAGCUACAAAAUGAAAAUACGAGUGAUUUAUUUUGUAGAAGGUUGUACGUCCUCUGAAAAGAAUAGGUCAUCCCAGUAUGGGAAAACUCUGACGCAAUGAUGUCAGAUGUGUGAUAAUAAAGGUGACCUUGAUAAACAAUUUUAGAUAAAUACUAUAAAAAUAUUAAAAAUUCAUCUAAGAUCAUCAAUUGCUCUUUAUAGUUAUCACUUAAUGAUGUAUAUUCCCUAUCUUAUAGAGAGAAAAAAAAAUAGGGUAGAGAGAAAAAGAAAGAGUUAACGAUGUGUCAAAUUCAGCAGAUAUUAGAGGCAUAAAUAAUCAUCAGCUUACUGUACUAAGAUUAUUAAGCUGAGCCUUGUAAUAUAUACGACUUGAUAAAGCCUGCAGGUCUGCAAAAUAUGAUUAUUGCAAUGGUGAACGCGUUUACUUAUUGACUUAACAUGAUGGCAUCACAGCAUUGACUACUUAAUGAGGCUUAAUGCUCAAACGUAACGACCUUCGCUUACUCUUGUAAUUUCCUCGGAACAACAGACAUUCAGUGUUUAUUCUAUGGUUUACUUUUUUCGCCGCCAUUGAUCUCUUCGCAUGCGUCUGCGUAGCACGCCCUUUGUUCAACAUCAGAUUACAUCGUAAGUAGGUAAUUAUGUAAAAAGGAUCACAGUGCCUGAUAAAACGCAAGUAUCGAUAGGUGAAUCAUGUCAGGAAGCCAAUUAUAGCAAGAGCUUCACGAUACGCACCAUUUACAAUCUGUUUAGGAACAUUUAUAUGUCACCGUUUAUCGUCUGUUAAUUAUUUGUUUAUUACAAUAGUGAGUGGUGUGAUGCCACCAUUUCAACUCAAUAUGUCUACCUAUAUAUGGACGUAAGUGUUUAACAACACAUUUCGUUCUUCGUCUUCAACAGUUAAGCCUAUCUCGUCCUAAAUAUGAUCCUACUUUUCCUCCUUCCCUCUUUAUAUACAUAUAGCAGGGUGAAUUACUGUUAGUAGGAAGAAUAUGGCUAUGUACAUGAAUUAUAUCCAAAUCGUCACGAAAAAUAAUUGCACAUACGAUUUGUAUAUUCAAGCGUAAUAUCGCUCCGAUUAGAUUGUUAAUGGAUGAGCUUUUGUUAGGCUAAAUAUAAAUGAAAGCAGGUUAGAUAGAUAAAAAGACAAGAGUAAGAAGCUAAUGUAGAAAUUACAUUGUCUUCUCCAGAGCACCGUAGGAUCCUACUAAACACACUAUUACAUACUUGUACAACAUAUUAGCCAUUGAGGACUUGGCACCACGAUAGAUCGGCACACCAUGUUCUAAUAGUUACCUGGCCCAGACAAUUGCAAAAUAAAUAAACUUGCAUCUUCCGAUCAUGAGCGUCUGAGGAAAAAGGGUUUAGAUUUGGUAGGGUAGCCUUUUCAGUUGUUAGGCUUACAGCGUAUUUCUACUAUCAUAUAUUUAAGGCAAGUAUCAAAUAGCAGAAGUGAAAAGGUAGUCACAGUCUCACUCUACGUGCAAGACCUUGCGUUCAAAACUUUUUUUCCAACUCCUAAUGACACCGUCUAAGGUUAAGCAAUGAAAUACUUCUAGACAUUGCUGCGCAACGUAAUGCAAUAGAAGUACUAUUAUUAAUGAACAAAUUCAACUAAAAAACUUACAAAUAAUUUUUUCAUCAUAUAUAUGUCGCUGUGUCUAAUUUGUUAAGUCGUUUUUUGCAUGGUAGGGUACAUGCAGGUUUGCUCAGUUUUUAAGGCCUUGCACAGAUCAUAGAAGCCUGAGAGCAUAAAUGAAUACCACGUUGACAUUGAGGUCUAUUAUUGUUCAUGCCAACCGUAGUUUGACACUUGUAAAACUACGAAAUUUAGAUAAAAUCGAUGUUUUAACAAGUCUUUUGCUGCUGCUGCUGCUGCUGCUGUUGAGUGAAUGCUAGUAUCACUAUUGCUGAUAGUACUCUUGAUGUAAGUACUCGCGUCUUCGAAGUGUACUCGAACAAGUUCUUUGCUAGACUUGGAAUAUGCUAGCAGUGAAAAUUUAAGCCUCACAAAAAAUAUUUAUACCAUAUUUUGUUGAAUCACAAAAAUGUUUAUAGUGUAAACGUAUCAGGGAUAACCUUGCGAUGUGCUUUUAUCCUACUUGAUUAGAGCAAUUAUGCGCCCUUAAAGACCGCUCUCGAAUCUAGUCACAUGAAAAACACGUUCGGUUCUAUCGUGAAGUACUAUCGAAUCUUACCGAAACGCUGGAAUCUAACUUGAAGUUGCUUCCUCAUUACAUCGUGUAAACUAUAUAGCAUGCUACAAGCAGCUAGAUAUUUAUGAGAGAGAGAAAAAGUAAUUGAAUUUACCUGCAUCCGAAGCACGUCCGUGUACGACACGGCAGUGAGUACUUCAGCUUUGAAUUCAUUAAAAUUUCGAAAUAUGUCUGCUAGUGUGAAGCUGCGGCAGGCCAAUUACUCGUCGAACAAGAAAGCAUCACUGGUUUGUUUUUACUAAAGGGUAAUCGACAAAAGGCUAAACUGAGGAACAUGCGAUCAUCGAAAUUGCGUUCUUUGUCUAACUCGUUAAAUGCACAAGCGUUUAAAGUACGUCUUUAAGUAUUUAAGAUGUCUGCGGUUUACCAACUAGAUACACAGUUAGGGGUAUGAUAAAUACGUGUAACUAAAAUCUGUUUGAACAGUGCAGGCCAUGGAGAGUACUAUUGUGUAUUUAGCCGACCCUGUCUACAUAGACUUUGCGGUCGUUAUUUUCAGAGCUCUGCCUAGCCUUAGCUCUUAUUACCCUCUACAUAUAAAAUACUCUUUUUUGUCUCAAACUCCGCGUGAAUGGCCCUCGUGGUCCACACUAUAAAGCGAACUAGUUCGUCCAACACGGUUAACUCUAACCAGUAAACGUACGGUUUCUAGUAAUGAGCCCCUUAUUAGCUGAGAUCUUUAUGUGCACAUGAUUUUUGCGCAUAAGCCGAAGUAACAUGCUAAGGAAAUUUGUUCCACCGAGUUAGAGUUUGGCCUCUUAAACGUUACGUGGACACGUACUCAGGUUUGCUGGAAACGAUCAAUAGAGUAUAAUCAUCGAUGCUUGCUUUUGACGUAGUCAGUGAGGAGCGCGUUUACUUGACGCUCUUUUUCGCAAUGCUAUAAAAGCUAAGAAAAGAAACAAAUAUUCAGUGCCGAAGGAUUCGAUUUUGAUCGGAGAGAUCAACAACAGAUGAGGACUAACCAUAAAGGCGUUGUAAGAUGAGGUCUCUAAGAAUAUCUUCAUCGGACUUCUCUUGCGUAGAUAAACUUUGAUGCUCUUGUGACGAUUAACUAAUAUGCCAUUGCGUACCGUUUGCUAGGCAGAACAGAACAUGCCAGAGCUAUACGUUAUCACACAGAUUAACCAGUCACUAAAUGUUAUACCUAGUGACAUCGACCAGGUAUUGAGCAGUACUAGUAUGGUUAAUAUUGCUCUGUGCGUGAAAUAUUAAGUUAAGGUUAUUUAACGGAAAAGUUAAGGUAAUUAAACGAAGUGUAAAGAGCGUCAUAAUAUGUGCAGAGUGUGAGUUUUUUUUUUUCUUUAUUUACGUGAGAUACGUUCGCUAUAUCUAGCAUCGUAUAUUGUAUGGUGAAUAGUAAUCACUUCUCCAUCUUAACAUGUGGCGGAAAAGUGUUGUAUACACAGGAAACGGAAGGCUAUGCUAGCUAGAACAUUCAACAUGUUAGUAAAAAGGCGAAAUAUGUAAUGGUGUGCGUUCAAGCUGGUUAUUUUAUUGUAAUCGUGUGUAUUAGGGAAGCCACGAGUGAUAUCUUAGUUAUUUCUAUGCCACAGAAACGAUUUAUUUAUGAAAAAAGUACAGGUGCGGUAGUUAUUCGAUUUCUACUUCACUGUCCAUUCCGCAACGCGACAAAAUUAAAU